GGUGUGGUGCAGUUGGUUAGCGCGACAGAUUGUGGAUCUGGAUGUCGUGGGUUCGAGUCCCAUCAC
rnacentral:tRNA from 1 species